rnacentral:misc_RNA from 1 species
GGAAAAAGACUCCAUAUUUUCAUCACGUAGCAGUACACAACCGAAGAAGCAAGUCAUCGCAUGAUUGUCCACCCCAAGCCACAUGCCUAAUAUCAUAUCAUAGGCAUCCAAACGGUUGGUUGUGUCAAAAACAACUGCAUCACCAAAGGCUUCAUAUAAUUGGACAGAUGAAGCAUAAGACCAUGAAAUAUGCUCCAACCUAUUAUUGCCAUCUAUUUUGAAGUCAUAUUUGAAGUUAUGAUCUUCAUCCUUCAUUUUCUUGCACAUUGCAAUAAGAUCAAUGGCAUCAUUAUCU